rnacentral:lncRNA from 1 species
AGCUUACUCAAUCUUUCCUCCUGAGAUCAAAUGAGAAAACCAUCAACAGCAAGACCAAGCAAACCUUAUGGGAUGUUCUGAGAAGCUCUUACUAUGCUAGUCAUUGCCCACAACAUGUAAUCGAUAGACAUGUUUCGGAGGUUAUCUUUGAGCCUGUUUAAAAAGUUUUAAUUGUUAGUCAUUUGUAGGUUUAGGUGUAAAUAUAUGUAUAUAAGAAAUGGAUGUAAAUAAUAAUAGUAGGGGAUACAUGCAAUUGUAAGCUGGUAGAUGCUUGGAAUUGAAAUCAGUAUCUGUGAGAUCUAAAAAGUUCAUGUAUAAGUAGUCAUAUUGUAAAUAGAGAUUUUCAUUUGAAAAAAGUUUUAUAUGGCAAAUGUCAUCUCGAUUGGUGCAUUUCUGGAACCUUUUGAGUUCUUUGGAGCACUUAUCUCCAUGUUAAUUUCAAAAAAAAUUAAUAAUUAUAAAAGAAGUAAUGAGCCAAAUUUAGUAUAAUAUAAUAUUACAAAAAUCUCAGAGUAGACACCAGGAUGGUAUUUUUAGUUUUUUUUAAUCUUUCAAAAGUAGAAUGAACUAGCAACAAAUUUUGAUAAUUUCUAAAUUUGCAUUGUGACACCAUAUCCACAUUAGGUACAGACCAUUCAUUUCCACGUUAUGUCACCACAUCCUCCAUCUUCAAUUCACAUGAAACUCUUAUAGCAUGGUCCUAGAUGACAUCUUAUAGCAUCUUCAAUUCAUCAUCUUUUGUGCGAACCGAACCGGCUAGGCUGACGGUUCACAGUUUCUCCGGUCAAACUAGUGGUCCGGUUGGAUUUUUGUUCACUACAUAUAACCCUAUUUUUUUAGCACCUUAAUUCUCCAUUGAAGACUAGAGUCUUGUACUUAAAAUGGUUAUAUGAGAAAACUAUCUACACCCAAAUUCAAAGCAAGUCAUAUAUAGAAAAAACUUACUCUACUGGCUUUACAGCCAAAUUAAGUUUUUAUUUUUCGUUAGAGCUUCAUCAAUAAUAGCCCUCACAUGUAUAGGCAAUCUAUCCUCAUUUCAUAUAUUUCCAACAAAGAACUGAUGAAUGAAUUUAUAUUUCCAGUAGCUAUUAGUCUUUUCCCGAUGUAUACUUCUUUUUCAACCUGGUAUGUGUCCAAUAAUUCAUGCCAUACUAACAAUAUAUUAUCAUAAAAUAUAUUUAUAAAAAGGUAUAAAAUAUUUGUUUCCUUGUCACAUAUAAAAUUGUCAACUCCUUGAUAUGCGACCAUUGGUUUAGAAUAAGUAAACACUAUGAUAAUUUGUACAGACACCAUGCAUUCCAUAGUUCAAAACAAAAGCUUACAAAAAAUUAUUUAGUUUUUCAUGUCAAUAUGUUCACCUAAUGAUACAAUUUAUAGGAUACCGAGAAGAAUGAAGCAACAAUGAAUUGCGUUGACAAGGAAAUUCAGUUCAAUAUGCAAGAGCUUACUCAAUCUUUCCUCCUGAGAUCAAAUGAGAAAACCAUCAACAGCAAGACCAAGCAAACCUUAUGGGAUGUUCUGAGAAGCUCUUACUAUGCUAGUCAUUGCCCACAACAUGUAAUCGAUAGACAUGUUUCGGAGAUUAUCUUUGAGCCUGUUUAAAAAGUUUUAAUUGUUAGUCAUUUGUAGGUUUAGGUGUAAAUAUGUG